rnacentral:rRNA from 1 species
UAACCAUAAACUAUGCCUGCCAGCGAUCCGCCGAAGUUCCUCCGAUGACUCGGCGGGCAGCUUCCGGGAAACCAGAGCUUUUGGGUUCCGGGGGAAGUAUGGUUGCAAAGCUGAAACUUAAAGGAAUUGACGGAAGGGCACCACCAGGAGUGGAGCCUGCGGCUUAAUUUGACUCAACACGGGAAAACUCACCAGGCCCGGACACCGGAAGGAUUGACAGAUUGAGAGCUCUUUCUUGAUUCGGUGGGUGGUGGUGCAUGGCCGUUCUUAGUUGGUGGAGCGAUUUGUCUGGUUAAUUCCGAUAACGAACGAGACUCUAGCCUACUAACUAGGCGUACCCGGUAUCCACAAUCGUGCUACCGGCGAUCAAAUUUCUUCUUAGAGGGACAGGCGGCUUCUAGCCGCACGAGACUGAGCAAUAACAGGUCUGUGAUGCCCUUAGAUGUCCUGGGCCGCACGCGCGCUACACUGAAGGAAUCAGCGUGUCUUCCCAGUCCGAAAGGACCGGGUAACCCGCUGAACCUCCUUUGUGCUAGGGAUUGGGGCUUGCAAUUGUUCCCCAUGAACGAGGAAUUCCCAGUAAGCGCGAGUCAUAAGCUCGCGUUGAUUACGUCCCUGCCCUUUGUACACACCGCCCGUCGCUACUACCGAUUGAAUGAUUUAGUGAGGUCUUCGGACUGGUGCGCGGAGGCCGCUCCGGCGGUCUCCGAUGUUGCCGGAAAGAUGACCAAACUUGAUCAUUUAGAGGAAGUAAAA